UCCCCAAGAAUUUGGGUGGUUGUAAAUCCUGGACAAGCUCCCAACUGAAAGACCCCCAGAGUGGGGAGACCCUCACUCAAGUCUCAGGAUAUGCUGAUGCCCAAAUAAUUCAAGAGAGACC
rnacentral:pre_miRNA from 11 species